rfam:Ciona savignyi cont_45928, whole genome shotgun sequence.
AAGCCAUGCAAGUCUAAGUACUAGCUCUCGUACAGUGAAACUGCGAAUGGCUCAUUAAAUCAGUUAUGGUUCAUUUGAUCGUACAGUUUACUUGGAUAACUGUGGUAAUUCUAGAGCUAAUACAUGCGAGAAGCGCCGACCUCGCGGGAGGCGUGCAUUUAUCAUACCAAAAACCGGCCGCGUCUUCGGGCGCGUUCGCCUUGGUGACUCUGGAUAACUUUGCGGAUCGCACGGUCUAGCACCGGCGACGGAUCAUUCAAGUGUCUGCCCUAUCAACUUUCGUCGGUACGGUAUUUGCCUACCGAGGUUCUUACGGGUGACGGGGAAUCAGGGUUCGAUUCCGGAGAGGGAGCCUGAGAAACGGCUACCACAUCCAAGGAAGGCAGCAGGCGCGCAAAUUACCCAUUCCCGACGCGGGGAGGUAGUGACGAAAAAUAACAAUGCAGGACUCGUUCGAGGCCCUGUAAUUGGAAUGAGUACACUUUAAAAGCUUUAACGAGUAUCCAUUGGAGGGCAAGUCAGCAGCCGCGGUAAUUCCAGCUCCAAAAGUAUAUAUUUAAGUUGUUGCGGUUAAAAAGCUCGUAGUUGGAUUUUGGGCGCAGGCGGCCGGUCCGUCGCAAGGCGUGUACUGGACGUCCUGGCCUUCCCUCCGGUUCUCCGCCGGUGCUCUUGACUGAGUGUCGGCGGCGGCCGGAACGUUUACUUUGAAAAAAUUAGAGUGUUCAAAGCAGGCUCUCGAGCCUGGAUAAUGGUGCAUGGAAUAAUGGAAUAGGACCUCGGUUCUAUUUUGUUGGUUUUCGGAGCGCGAGGUAAUGAUUAAGAGGGACAGACGGGGGCAUUCGUACUGUGCCGUUAGAGGUGAAAUUCUUGGAUCGGCGCAAGACGAACGACUGCGAAAGCAUUUGCCAAGAAUGUUUUCUUUAAUCAAGAGCGAAAGUCAGAGGUUCGAAGACGAUCAGAUACCGUCCUAGUUCUGACUAUAAACGAUGCCAACUAGCGAUCGGGGGGCGUUACAUUGACGACCCCUCCGGCAGCUUACGGGAAACCAAAGUCUUUGGGUUCCGGGGGAAGUAUGGUUGCAAAGCUGAAACUUAAAGGAAUUGACGGAAGGGCACCACCAGGAGUGGAGCCUGCGGCUUAAUUUGACUCAACACGGGAAAUCUCACCCGGCCCGGACACAGUGGAGGAUUGACAGAUUGAGAGCUCUUUCUUGAUUCU